ACAAAAGACUCUUUGUUUCUAGAUUUUUAGCUCAUUGAAAAGGCACAGCACAGCUGUAUGCUCGUCUAAAGCAGCCAUGUGGGGAAAAUGUUUUCUGAUAUAAGCCAUAUUCUAUACAUUGACUACCAGCUUCUAAAUGUGCAAACAUUGGCUAACUGUUUACGUGCUGAUGUUUUAUAUAUUGUUAUUUUAUUCUCAUAUAGUUAUUGACUGCCAUCGUUUUACAGCAUACCAUAGAGAUUUGUACUUGAUACAUGUGUUA